rnacentral:tRNA from 1 species
GCCGAGGUGGCGGAACUGGGAGACGCGCUAGCCUCAGGAGCUAGUGCCCCGUGUAGGGGCGUAUGGGUUCGAAUCCCGUCCUCGGUACCA